AUACUUAACUGGCAGGAAAGACACCAUAAUCAUGGCAGGUUGUUUUUGCAGGGUGAGGCUUAUCCACUGCCCUCCAGAUUUCCUGUGAUUUCCCCAAAUGUGGGCAACUCAACUGCAUAAAUUUUGGUAAUGAGGGACUGCAUUCAUGCUUUCUCAAU